rnacentral:rRNA from 2 species
AAAUUGUUGAAAGGGAAGCGUUUAUGACCAGACUUGCGCCGGGCAGCUCAUCAGGGGUUCUCCCCUGUGCACUCUGCCCGGCUCAGGCCAGCAUCGAUUCUCGUGGGAGGAUAAGAACGGUAGGAACGUGGCCCCCUCUCGGGGGGGUGUUAUAGCCUGCCGUACGAUACUCCCGUGGGGAUCGAGGUUCGCGCUCCGCAAGGAUGCUGGCGUAAUGGUCAUCAACGACCCGUCUUGAAACACGGACCAAGGAGUCGUCCAUUAGAGCGAGCGUUUGGGUGUAAAACCCGCACGCGUAAUGAAAGUGAACGCAGGUGAGAGCUUCGGCGCAUCAUCGACCGAUCCUGAUGUUCUCGGAUGGAUUUGAGUAAGAGUUUUAACGGACGGACCCGAAAGACAGUGAACUAUGCUUGUAUAGGGUGAAGCCAGAGGAAACUCUGGUGGAGGCUCGCAGCGGUUCUGACGUGCAAAUCGAU